rnacentral:lncRNA from 1 species
CAUGUGCAAGGUCAUCUACAGCUGCAUUAUGUCCUCUUGAAUGGCCUUGAGAAGCUCGUUUUCUAUAUACAAUCGUAUCCUCGAGGUAUCUACCGGAUCGUGCACUGUGGUCUCUAUCUUGUGUAGUAUGCAUAAAUUGAAACUCAGGUAAAUUGAAGACUACUCUGCAGCUGUCUCAUAAACAGUAGUCUCAUAUCCUCCACUUUCUCUCUAGUCAGCAGAUCUAUGACCACCAGAAUUGCUGCUCCUGAUCUCUAAAUCUGAGUGAACUAGCUCCUCCCCCACACUCUCCAUGGGGAUUGCAAGUGCCUUUUAUUUUUUUUUUUGUUUACUAAAUAGCUGCAUGCUUAUCUUUCAUGCCACUCUCUACCUGCUUACCCUUUGUGCUCCUCUCUGUCUGCUUACCCUUCAUGCUCCUCUCUGCCUACUUACUCUUCGUGCCCUCUGCUUGCUGUGAAUAAGAGCGAAGGAGGACCAGUGGCGCUCGCAGCCACUCGAGGAGGCCAUCUAGGAGAGGAUCGAAUAGGCUAGUCACUUAAGAUUUUUCACAGACAAACCAAAAUAAAUCCACCAUUCAACUGCACAAAUAUUGAAGAAAAUUACAUAGAUAGUAUCAUAUUAAUAACCACUAACGCCAAGUAAAUGUCCUUUUAAUAUGUAAUAUACCUGGAUUCAUACUUUUCUUACGACAGUUGCUGAGACUCUAAAGCCCUUAGUGCCCU